rnacentral:rRNA from 1 species
UACAGAGGGUGCAAGCGUUAAUCGGAAUUACUGGGCGUAAAGGGCGCGUAGGUGGUUGCGUAAGUGGAAUGUGAAAUCCCCGGGCUUAACCUGGGAACUGCAUUUUAGACUGCGUAGCUUGAGUGCAAUAGAGGGUAGUGGAAUUUCCGGUGUAGCGGUGAAAUGCGUAGAUAUCGGAAGGAACACCAGUGGCGAAGGCGGCUACCUGGAUUGACACUGACACUGAGGCGCGAGAGCGUGGGGAGCAAACAGG